rnacentral:rRNA from 1 species
GACGAACGCUGGCGGCGUGCUUAACACAUGCAAGUCGAACGGAAAGGCCCUGCUUUUGGUGGGGGCUCGAGUGGCGAAGGGGAGAGUAACAUGUGAGUGACCUGGCCUGGGCGUUGGGAUAACCUCAGGGAACUGGGGCUAAUACCGGAAAUGAGCUCCGGCUGCAUGGUGGGGGUUGGAAAGUUUCGGCGGUGGGGGAUGGACUGGCGGCUUAUCAGCUUGUUGGGGGGGUAGCGGAUUACCAAGGCGUUGACGGGUAGCCGGCAUGGGAGGGUUAACGGACACAUUGGGACUGAGAUAGGGACCAGACGCCUACGGGAGGCAGCAGUGGGGAAUAUUGUACAACGGGCGGGAGCCUGAUGCAGCAACGCCGCGUGCGGGAUGACGGCCUUCGGGUUGUAAACCGCUUUCGCCUGUGACGAAGCGUGAGUGACGGUAAUGGGUAAAGAAGCACCGGCUAACUACGUG